rnacentral:rRNA from 1 species
UACGGAGGAUGCAAGCGUUAUCCGGAAUCAUUGGGCGUAAAGCGUCCGUAGGUGGCUGUUCAAGUCUGCGGUCAAAGCACGAGGCUUAACCUUGUAAAGGCCGUGGAAACUGAAGAGGCUAGAGUGCGGUAGGGGUAGAGGGAAUUCCCAGUGUAGCGGUGAAAUGCGUAGAGAUUGGGAAGAACACCGGUGGCGAAAGCGCUCUACUGGGCCUGCACUGACACUGAGGGACGAAAGCUAGGGGAGCGAAAGGG